GCGUACGUCUUCACUAUCGUGCCUUGUAUGGUAUAUCAUAUAUAUAGGUGUUCUGUGGUACAUUCCUCUAUCCUCCUACUAAAUUUUUUGCAAAAUGGCGCGGUGCGUUGUGAAGGCAUCGGCGUGGUAUGGUUGUGGUGAGAACUAUUGUACGGACCCGCGCCUUUAUUUUGCUGACAUCAUUCGGAAAGGUCACGCUUUCACUUAUUUCCAAUAAGUGCAUAGUUCAGAGGUUUGCUUUCUCGUGACACUUUACUCCGCGUGAAGGGACACCGCUAAGUUUACCCGUGUGCGCAUCACAAUAUGAGUGAAUCAAAGGAAACUUGGACGCACUGCUUGGAGAAAGCGUACAGCGAAGCAUACUCUAAUGAUGGACGUUAACCAGCGCGCACAUGGAGCAGCGCCUUCGCGUUGCGAGCACAUGGAGGUCCUCUGUUUGUGGCGCAAGAGCGGGUGCGUAGUUUUCCGCAGACGAGGUGCACAAAGGAAUGAUUUGUUGCAGCAUCCAUUGGAACAGCAUUGCAUCGUGAAAGAUGUUCGUGGCAUCCCAAAGAUACCUCAAGUCAUGGCUUCAGGUAAGGGAUGUGCAGCUUCAAUGCUUAAACCACGCCAUUCGACUAGGACAACAAGAGAUGACCGUCUUCUACAGGCGCCCCUCAGUUGUGUCUAAUUUUGCUCGUGGGCUAUUCCUUAUAGGGUCCGUGGAACAGGUGUAUUAAUCGUUAAAACCAGUACUUUCGGUGUGGCAUAUUUUUGGGGUUUUGUCUGUACAUUGAAUGAAAGGUACGCACUAAGCGGGUGUUUCAUCAUUAUUAGCAUUGAGGAAGGAAGUCUCAUUUGCCUGUAUACCUGUCGGAAAAAAUGCACAAUGAUUAUCACUGUUCCCGUUUUCUGCCUGCAUUGUGUAAGUUGUGUACAAGCCGUCAUGUCUGAUUAAUGCCCACACGUUUCAUGUCUGUGUGCAUGUCUUUGAACAUCACUCUUCUACCAUCUCCUCCAGUCUUGUAGCGGUUAAUGAAAGUCAGUCUUUCAGACUUGCUACCAUCUUUGCCAAAAUUUCAUGUUCGUUUGCAGCAGUGUUGGCAAAUAAAAAUGUUUCAAACAUCUAUGUCAAAACCCAGGAGAUUCCAAACCAAAGCUGCUAGAUCCAGUUAAAUUCUGAACGCAGUCAGAAAUGCAUUACAUAUGCUAGUUGUGCCUUCUACUUAAUAAUUGAAACUCAAAAAUUGAAAACGGACUCUUGAGAUUUUGUAGGAAUUAUCAGCAGCUUGCAUUACCAGAAGCUCACAUUACCAGAAGCUCUCAUAAAUACAACCUGGGUAAGAUAACAGCUUAUAUCGAGAUCAAAUAUUCACUUGAAUUAAAAUUUGAAAAAUAUCUUAAAUGGUUGACUGCUGCAUUGCUGCAUGCAACUUCAACAUUGUUUAUUGCUGCAAGAGCAAGGAGUUCUCUAUGGGAGUCUUCUGUUGUGAUUAGGAAUUUGCACAUCUUUGAAAUGUGGUGGGAAGGCCCUUGCAGUUCUCAGAGCUGGUGAUUGCUCUGCUGGCUCAUCACUUCUGCUGCUGCAUUGUGCUGGCAGCAAGAAAAGGAAUCAAUUUUUCCACCUUUGAGCAUUGAAUUGCAGGCAAAUCAAAUGGGCAUACAAUUCUGCAAAUAGAAUCUGUUAAGGAAUACCGGGUAGCAAGGAACAUUGAGGCUUUCCUAUGUACUUUCUUUGACUGAGUAAUCAAGUUUGAAAUUACUCCCAUUAGGAUGUCAUGACAAUGUUGAUCUUAUACCGGUUAAACACAUGACUAGCUUAAGAAGUCACAGCACACGCAACACAACCGGAAGAACCAGGCUAGCGCUGAGGUUGAAUGUCGCUAUACAAUUGCCAUUCCACGUUCAGUAAUCACAUGCAGAUCAUUUGCGGCUUCGUUCAGGGGCAGGCGUGGGCUUUCGGGUUGGUGCUUGUUGUGUUUGGUGCAAGAAUAUGGCUAGGAGCAGGAAACACUUAUGCGCAGUCACGAGCAAUAUACACACAUCAUUUCUCCAGUAGCUGACGCUGAGCAUGCAUAGUGUGACGACCUCGUUUGGCUGACACGACUUUGCUGCAGCCAAAUUCCAAAUACUGCAUCUGCAGUGAGAGUAGCUACAUGAACUUGUUGAUAGCUCAUCCUGUAGGUUGUUGUAGCACAGACAGUAUGACACAAACAUGGAAGGCGCACGACACAACACACAGUGCUAAACAGCCUGUUUCCCUUCCUGAAACCAGAACCACCUGAAAGACCUGUUUUCGCAAGGCCACAUUCGUAGUGUCGCCUCCAUUGACAGCCGCCAAUGGCUAGGAGCUGGCAGGCAUAGCUCACUCGGCCGUCAAAUCCGACACCAGUAGCGCUUGCGGCACUAUUGUAGCAGCUCAUAUAACGAAGCGCCUGUGUUGGUCGGUAUGUGUACGCAAUUAUGUCGCGCUUAAACCGCAAUACAUUUGAUCUUAUUGUUGCCAACAGAAACGAGCGAGCAAGCCAGGCGAGCUUGCAAUUGUGAGGAAAUGAUAUAGGCCUAGCUUGCCGGCCGUCUGUUCUGGGAUCAUCAGCCCUUGCGAUGCAUCCGCAGCUCAUAAUAAAGCGCCUAGAUAUUUGUCAACACUAACAACAUCUGCUAAUUUAGUUGCUCGUAAGUGAAAAUACUACAGUCGAACCUCGAUAUAACGAAGUCCAAUUUGCAGCCGAAAAUUUCUUUCGUUAAGUCGAGGUUCGCGUGUUUCAGCAGUCCAAAUAAAGAUGCAAGUUCUUGGAACACUCCUGGCAUAUGGCACCUUGUAGAUAGCAAAAUUACAAAGAUAACCCAUAAACCCCGGGACUAAUAACACAACCAAGAGCGUGAUGCCCGAUAGCCAGCGGGUACGAACACAUUUUUCUCCAUUACGUGUACGGCAAACAGCAGGUCUGCAGCAAGUGCCGCGCCUAGUGCUCAUAACUGCCACUAGAUGUGGCCAUCAGCGCCAUCAUCAUCAUGAUUUGUCAUCACUACAAAAAAAAAAUUUCCUUUCACGAAGACAUGGCAACCCGUGACGAAAAAAAAAAAUUAUGCACAUGCCAGAGCUAUCAACUUAAAUGUUCUUUCGAAGAAAAUUGAAAGUAUUAACUUGGUGGAUACAUGAGGCCACCACUUACCAUUAGAGCGCUCAACGCUCGCAGCCAUCGGAUGAUACCGCCCUCAGUAAAGCAAUGGUGAUGUUAAUUCAUGAACACUGGAAUAUUUAACUUCCCACAGAGCAAUUCUAUGCAACUCAGGUGGAAGCGAAGAACUCCGUCAGCUUCAUCUGCCACUUUUUAAUAAACGUCGGGGUUAUAAGGUGCUCGUAGGUUGACAGGGCUGCUAAGGCUUGCCCUUACGAGUGCGCGCCCGCAUACGUGCGUAAGAGAUCCAGUGCAUCCAUGACUUGCUUCGGUGUUGCUAUGCUGCUUGCUGCCUGGAGUUCUUCGUCCGAGUCGUUGUCCUGCAUUUCUUUAUCUGUGAUGCUCUGGAUUAUUGCGUCAUCGUCCGGCUCUUCAGUUGUCACAGCGCAAGCAUCGCUGAAGACAAAGUCCUCGAGUGUCAUGUCGCUUGGAGCACCUCCCUUAUUGCAGAACAGCUGCCAUGAGUCAACGACAUCUGUUGUGUAUGCCAUACUUUCGUCACCGUCAUUUGCUCUGCACUCCGCUUCCUCAUUCAAAGAAAUGCUCUCCUUCAAUCCCACUUUCCUGAAGCACUUGGCUACGAUCUCCCUAUUUGUUGCCUCCCAUGAUCGCGAACGCAUCUCCAAGGCCAUGAACACGUCGAUUUUCGUCUCUCUGUGUAGCUCGAUGUACAGCAGAAGCCUUUCGAUGACCCGCUUGUGGUAUGCACACUUGACGCUGUUUAUUAUUCCCUGGUCGAAUGGUUGUAUCAGGGAGGUGCAGUUGGCGGGAAAAUAUUCAAGCUCAGUGUUGGAAAGCGCACAAUCUUGAACAUGUUGUGCUGAGCAAUCGUCCAGAAGGAGGCAAAUGUUUCGACCUCUUUUGCGCAUUUCAGCAUCCAGAUCCUUAGCCAGUUGCUGAACAAAUCCCUUGUCAUCCACGCCUUUGUAUUUGCAUCGUACUUGGCUGGCAUGCUCCUUUUCCCACUGAAGCAACGCGGCUUCUCGCUUGUGCCAAUUACGAAUGGCACAUGCUUAUCGCUGCCGUCCAUAUUCUUAAA